rnacentral:tRNA from 1 species
GGUGGCUCAGUGGUAGAGUGCUUGCCUAGCAGGCAUGAAGUCCUGGGUUCGAUUCCUCAGCACCA